CAAACCUGCUCUGAAUUUUCGGAACAACCUAGUCCUUUCAUCAUAUCAUAUAUAUAUAAAAUAAAAUCACAUUAUUUCAUUUCAUUUCAUAAACCCUUUUUCUUUUGAUUAUUUCUUCUUACUUUGAUUCCUACUCAUUCAUUCAACACUUUCCUUCUACCCUCAUCAAAAUAUUCUCGUUACCUUCGCCCUCUUCAAAUGGCCUCCAUCAAUUUCACAAUCGAUUCAGUUUCUGUGUUAAACCCUAAACUCAAUCAUCAUAAUACUCGUCUAUCUCUUCCUCAUUCUUCAACCUUUCACCCUUUACUCAAACACAACCGCACUUUCAAACUCUCCCUUCACUCCAUUCCUUUCAAUCAACGGAAACCGUUAACCGUCACUUUCGCUGCUCCUCAACAUGACUCUGAUCAUGGUGAAGUUGAAGUGGAGAAGGGGAAUGAUGUUGGUUCAGAGGAGGAAUCACAAGAAGCGUGGAAGCAGGCUUUGGAUACAUUCAAGGAACAAGCUUUGAAGGUUCAAGGGGUUUCUCAGGAGGCUUAUGAAGUGUAUUCUAAGAAGGCCGUUGUCAUUUUGAAGGAUACUGCAGAUCAGUUGAAGAUACAUGCUGAUAAGGCGAAACAAGAUUUGAGUGUUGUGGCAAAGGAAAUUACUGAAGAAGGAAAAGAGUAUUUUUCUUCUGCUACCGAGAAUUCACCUGAUGUGAAGGAAAUUGUGGAGACUUUUACCUCCCCUGAUGAUGAUCUCAGCAAUGUUUCUGGAGUUCGGGACUUUUAUGUUGGUAUACCCUAUGGUUUGGUACUCUCUCUGGGUGGAUUCCUUUCCUUUAUGAUAACCGGAAGCAUUGCAGCAAUAAGGUUUGGGGUGAUUUUAGGCGGUGUCCUAUUGGCUUUAAGCAUUUCAAGCCUGAAAUCAUAUAAGAAAGGACAGCCCUCUUCUCUAGGUUUGAAAGGAGGCCAAACAGUAAUAGCAGGUAUCUUGUUUCUGCGUGAGAUCAUCUCAGUUGGCAGAGGAUCAACCUAUUUCACUGCCUUGAUCAGGUUCUUGAAACUUUAUUAUUUUACUUACAUAUAUCUUCAUUUUAGAGACUCUAGCAUUUUUCGUUAUCCCACGCCGCUCUUUACCGAUAAUGUCAACCACUUGCUGCUGUUUCAUGUUUAAGUAAAACUUCAGCGAUAUUGAAUUGAAAUCAGUUUAAUUAGAGUUACAAAUGGCGGUGUCCUGACAUUGCAUGUGGGCCGACAAAUAAUUGCUAAUUGGAAAUUAAGAAUGUUGGAAAAUUGCAAAAGACUAAACAGAAAACUCUGCUAGCAUAUUAUGUUUCUAUUUAACCUGCAGAAAUUCAGAUCGAAAAUUGAAUGUCAUUUGGCUCAUUCUUUUGUCCAAUUCUUUGAUCUUUCACAAUAAUUAAUAUUUUGCUGUAUAAUAACAUUGUUUAGCAUUUGCAGUGGUGCGGUAGUGGCAUUUUACGUCUAUAGACUGGUUUUGGAGGGUAAAACACAAAAAGGUUCAAACUUGGAAGGUGAAGCAGGAAACUAGUUCAUUGAUAAGUAUCAAGUGGAAGAUCCGUGUGAUGAUUGGAUAAAAACUGAAGAUCUGCAUGAAGACCUUCAUUUGUUGUCAGGCAGAAUAGGCAAAUAUCUUGUCAAUAUGUAGCAGAAUCGGUCAUCCUAGAAACGACAUAUAGUCGAUUUACUUUUGCGAACGCAUGCAAUUUUUUUUUUUUUUGAGUUGGAUGUCAUAAAAAAUUGUGAAUCUCAAAUUAUUGAUCUUUGGUCAUAUGUGGAAGAAUUGAGUAUGGUUGUUAAGAUUUAGAUUUGGUUUGUUAAUGCUAUAUUUUUAGCUGAAAA